CCAAACAAAUCCACACAAAAGUUUCCCUGCUCCUUUUGUUCCCUCGCGAAUCCAUCCUCGCACACCAAGCGGACGCAAGAAAUAAAUACAGAAAGAAAGAAAGAACGCGAGGGGAAGAGAGAGGGCGUGGGGUCGAUCCACCUUUCCCCAUCUAUCCGUCUAUUUAUUUGUUACUUCUUCUUUUCUUUGUUGGUUUUCUAGAGAAGCUUCUCUCUUCCUCUUCUUCUUGAACCCUCGCUGUUAGGGUUUAGGGACGAGAAGAAAGAGAUGAGGAGCUCUCUAGAAGCCUCCGGAUUGGCGCUCGCUGCCUUUUCCGAUUGGUGGACGGAGAUCAACGAGUCGCCGCAGUGGCAGGACGGGGUGUUCUACUUCCUCUGCGCCGCCUAUGCCCUCGUCUCCGCCGUCGCUCUGAUACAACUUAUUCGAAUACAGCUACGAGUACCUGAAUAUGGUUGGACAACUCAGAAGGUUUUCCAUCUUAUGAAUUUUAUUGUAAAUGGAGCACGUGCUGUUGUGUUUGGAUUUCACUCACAAGUUUUUCUUUUCAAACCAAAAGUAUUUGCAUUAGCACUAUUAGACCUUCCUGGGUUAUUAUUUUUCUCUACGUACACGCUGCUUGUUCUAUUCUGGGCAGAGAUAUAUCAUCAGGCAAGGAGUCUUCCAACAGACAAGCUAAGGACUGUUUACAUCUCUGUUAAUAGUGUGAUUUAUAUAAUUCAGGUUGGUAUAUGGAUAUACCUCUGGAUAAAUGACAAUAGUGUUGUGGAGUUAAUUGGAAAGAUCUUCAUAGUAGUGGUAUCAUUUAUUGCUGCGCUUGGAUUCUUACUGUAUGGAGGAAGGCUAUUUUUCAUGCUGAGGCGUUUCCCUAUUGAAUCAAAAGGGAGAAGAAAGAAGCUUCAUGAGGUUGGAUCUGUUACAGCAAUAUGCUUCACCUGCUUCCUUAUAAGAUGUUUUGUGGUUGGAUUAUCUGCAGUUGAUCCUGAUGCAUCUCUCGAGGUUUUGGAUCACCCAAUUUUGGACCUCAUCUAUUACAUGCUGGCUGAGAUACUCCCUUCGGCACUUGUUCUAUACAUACUCCGCAAACUUCCUCCUAAGCGAGUGUCAGCGCAAUACCACCCUAUUCAUUAGUGUUAACGAACAUCUACAACAAGGAUGUUAGAUUUAUUGAACUGUUCACAGUUCUGAUGAAGGUGGCAUGGUUGGAACUGGUGCGAGCUUAGAUGAAAGACUAGAUUUUGUACUCAAGGCUUUCUUCCAUGACUUUCGUGUGACUGUUUUUUCAUGCUGGAGGUUUUCCCCAAGGAUAUAUCUAGGAGUAAAGGUUUGUUGGAUUGAUAGGAUUUAUUCGUAACCAGAUUAAUUUAGUUCACCAUACGAUGUGUUCAUUUCAAAGUGCCUAACUUUUUGUCAGAAAUUCUAAUUCCAUGCAGGGAAGGGCCGGGAAGGGCAUAUAGAUGUAGUUGUUAAUUCUUGAAAAAUAUUGAAUGAUUCAGCAAUUGUCAAGAUAAUUCUGUCAAAUAGCUUGUGUCCUUGAAGACUUGAUCUAAUAAGCAAAUGAAAUAUUUGUAAAAUACUGGACUAUUUAAACUAUUAAAUAAUAGUGAUUUUGGUGA